rnacentral:rRNA from 1 species
AACGAACGCUGGCGGCAGGCUUAACACAUGCAAGUCGAGCGCAUCCUUCGGGGUGAGCGGCAGACGGGUGAGUAACGCGUGGGAACGUACCCUUUCCUACGGAAUAGCUCCGGGAAACUGGAAUUAAUACCGUAUACGCCCUUAGGGGGAAAGAUUUAUCGGGGAAGGAUCGGCCCGCGUUGGAUUAGCUAGUUGGUGGGGUAAAGGCCUACCAAGGCGACGAUCCAUAGCUGGUCUGAGAGGAUGAUCAGCCACAUUGGGACUGAGACACGGCCCAAACGCCGACGGGAGGAAGCAGUGGGGAUUAUGGAAAAAUGGGCAAAAGCCUGAUCCAGCCAUGCCGGUUGAGGAAUGAGGGCUUUGGGUUUGUAAAGCUUUUUCGGUGGGGAAAAUAAUGCCGGUACCUACAAAAAAAGCCCCGGCUAACUUUGGGCAAGCCGCCGCUGUAA